UACAGAGGUCCCGAGCGUUGUUCGGAUUCAUUGGGCGUAAAGGGUGCGUAGGCGGCCCUCUCAGUCGGAUGUGAAAUCCCCAGGCUUAACCUGGGAACGGCAUCCGAUACUGGAGGGCUUGAAUUCGGGAGAGGGAUGCAGAAUUCCAGGUGUAGCGGUGAAAUGCGUAGAUAUCUGGAGGAAUACCGGUGGCGAAGGCGGCAUCCUGGACCGAGAUUGACGCUGAGGAGCGAAAGCUAGGGGAGCAAACGGGG
rnacentral:rRNA from 1 species